rnacentral:lncRNA from 1 species
GUAAUAUAUGGUUCAAAAAAGCCAUAAUUUGAAUAUCAUCUGUGGAUGUGAUUUCUGUGUCAACACAAAUUCCAUAUUUUCACAGCAUGUGAAGAAAAAACAUCUGUGUGAAGAAUAUUUAAUCAUGGCUUUUGUUGAGAAUUGUCUUUAUCUUGUUGUUAUGUGUUUCACCAUAUGUUCCUGUCUUCCCUUAGAAGUUAGGCAUGGUAGACUAAAUGUAAUUAAGAACAGAGACAUUUGCAGGAUUGUUGUUUGACACCCCCUGCCUGACUGGCUCCUGAGAUAACAGUAGAUCAAACAACAAUCCUGCAAAUGUCUCUGUUCUUAAUUACAUUUAGUCUACCUUGCCUAACUUCUAAGGGAAGACAGGAACAUAUGGUGAAACACAUAACAACAAGAUAAAGACAAUUCUCAACAUACCCCAGCAGGUAAUUCACAGAGAACGCUUGGACGGAUCAAGGAACAUCUAAAGACGAUGGCACCAUGAUUAAACGUCUAUUAUCCUUCAUUACAUCAAGAGGAGUUGUCAAUGAAUUGUUUGUAUUGGCCUAGCCUAAGCUAGGCCAAAAGGGGGAUUGUUGAGAAUUGUCUUUAUCUUGUUGUUAUGUGUUUCACCAUAUGUUCCUGUCUUCCCUUAGAAGUUAGGCAAGGUAGACUAAAUGUAAUUAAGAACAGAGACAUUUGCAGGAUUGUUGUUUGAUCUACUGUUAUCUCAGGAGCCAGUCAGGCAGGGGGUGUCAAACACUCAUUGUAAACAGGACAUCAGGGGGUUGAUGAUGAUCACAUUUGCAUGAAGAAUGGGAUCUGGCCUGGAAAACAAUGGAAGAGAAGAACUCUACCAACACCAAAGGGACUGAGGAAGAGGACGGGGACAUCUCAGCGGGGGAUUGCAUGGACAUUGAAUUUGCAUGUGUGUGACUAUAAAGGACUGGGCCAAGGGAUAGUUAGCUUGUCAGACUUCGUGCCCUGACAAUUAACUUUGUUUGUUGCUAGGGUUAUGAACUGCCCGGAGCUCUGUAAUAUUUGUGUCUGGAAUUGAUUCUAUUGUUAAAUACAUUUUGAAAUUGGUACUUUACUUCUCGAAGUCUUCAUUCAACGAACACGCGGAUCGCAGCUACAUACAGGAGAUAUUGCGAUCCAACACUUUUUAAAAACCAUAUAUGACCUCUCUUUGCAGU